rnacentral:rRNA from 1 species
AUUGAACGCUGGCGGCAUGCUUUACACAUGCAAGUCGAACGGCAGCAUGCCCUUCGGGGUGAUGGCGAGUGGCGAACGGGUGAGUAAGACAUCGGAACGUGCCCGGGUGUGGGGGACAACCUCUCGAAAGAGGGGCUAAUACCGCAUACGAUCUUGGGAUGAAAGCGGGGGACCCUUCGGGGCCUCGCGCACUUGGAGCGGCCGAUGGCAGAUUAGCUUGUUGGUGGGGUAAAGGCCCACCAAGGCAACGAUCUGUAGCUGGUCUGAGAGGACGACCAGCCACACUGGGACUGAGACACGACCCAGACUCCUACGGGAGGCAGCAGUGGGGAAUUUUGGACAAUGGGGGAAACCCUGAUCCAGCCAUUUCGCGUGUGCGAUGAAGGCCUUCGGGUUGUAAAGNNCNNNNNNCGGGGAAGAAAAGUGCCGGGUUAAUACCCUGGCGCGCUGAC